GACGAACGCUGGCGGCGUGCUUAACCCAUGCAAGUCGAACGAAGUGGCGAACGGGUGAGUAACGCGUAAUCAACCUGCCCUUCAGAGGGGGACAACAGUUGGAGACGACUGCUAAUACCGCAUACUGAAGGAGGGGCUUGCGUCUGAUUAGCUAGUUGGAGGGGUAAUGGCCCUCCAAGUCGAUGAUAAGUAGCCGGUGAUGGAGGUAGAAGGGCCACAUUGGGACUGAGACACGGGCCAGAUGCCUACGGGAUGCAGCAGGGGGGGAUCUUGCGAAAUGGGCCAAAGUCUGUCGGAGCAACGCCGCGUGAGUGGUAGCGGCCUUCGGGUUGGAAAGCUCUGUUAAUCGGGACGCGGUACCGGAAGAGAAAGCCACGGCUAACUACGUGCAAGCAGCCGCGGUAAUAC
rnacentral:rRNA from 1 species